AAGAAAGCUGGAUUUCUGGAACAGAGGUGGAGGACAAGUUUGCAGUGUGGGAAUCAUUACACUUUUCCUCCUUUAAGCUCUGCCUGAGUAAUUACAAGGGAGAGAAUACCUAGCCCCCAACCACCACCACCCCCACACGACACAGCGACUUUUACUACUGAAAACUAAGAUUCUGCGUGGGGUUUGCAAAAUCUGUUAAUGACUUUUGUCAGAGAUUUUUCUGGUUUGGAAUUCCCUCCUUCCAAUACCUGUUGUUUUGAUACGGAUCUUACAAAGAAGCACCUUUCUUAGAAAUUUUCCGUCUUUUUAAUGCAAAUGGUCCCCUGAGCAGGCAGAAUGCCCUGUGUCUGAGUUGACCGGCAGGCCUGAAGAACCUGUACUAAGAACCUGUACUUGAGUCGGUUGGUAAACGUGCAGAAUUAAACAAGUUCAUGUAACUAUCAUUUCUUUUUCCUGUUGGGCACUUUUAAAAAACCUUCGCACCCACCAUAAUGCAUAAUAAUCCUUCCUUAUAAUUCCAAAUGUUUCACCUCAGUGUCUGUAAUAUUUACUUGUUUCCCUACCCCGUGCUGGGGGGGUGGAAUCUCCCUCGAUUUUGAGAAGAAAAAGAUCUUUCAAGUUUCUAAAUGUAAGAAUUGUUGAAAAGUUUAUUCCUUGUCCAAUAGGCAUGCAAAAAUAUUUUUAUAUAUUCGUUUACUCUGAGAGGAGAGCAGAAUUGCUGCUUUUGCUCAAAGGAAAAUGUUUUUAAAUGACACAAAUCUACACGUGCCUGUUUCUAGAAUUAACACCCUCGUGUUUACUGCCCGAGGGAUUUCCUACUAGGGGAAUCUGCGUUGGGAGAAGUACCUUGUCUGGGGAGGAUUUAAGGAAAUUUUAAUAUCCAAACAAAAGCCACCCACUCCCUCCCCCAGAGGAAAAACAAUGGGUAAUUUGCAUAUGCACAUGACACAAAUGAAAGACAAAGGGCCCCUCACAGACUGUGGCUACUUCCAAGUCUCUGCACUGUUUUUGCUUCCAAUAAAUGGUAUUAAGUUGAAUAACUAAAAAUAGUGGUUCUGGGCCCUCCGGCCCAUUCCCACUGUAGAAUCUGUUUGCUCAAUCAGAAAUAUCCCCCAAGCGCCCCAGGAGCUUCUAGGCAGAAAGAACUAUAGUUCCAACAGAAAAAAAAAUACGUAUAUACUUUGCCCUUUUUAUUUUAAUGGCCAAACAAUGUAAUGCUAGCUAAAUAGAAAUUCUUGUCUGUUAAUAGGUUCCUUUAGUUUGUAAUAAAUAAGAAUGCUAAUGACUAAAAUUUGUUAUUUGGUAUGCAUUAGCUUUUGUGAGCUUUUCUUUAUAGAGUCCUCAUUGACAUGCAAUAUGGCAAGCUUCCUUUGAAACAUAUUUAUAAAAUAACUACAGUAUAAUUAAACCAACAAAGCCAUCUUUUAAGUAAGCUUAAUAGCUCAGUUUUUUUUCACCUCGGUAAAAAUUUAUUUUAAAAAGAAAAAAUAGUUAUGCCUCAAUCCCACAGUAUAUUUUAUUCUGUGUAUCUAAUAUUUCCUUGCAUCUACAAUCUACGCAUAUCUAAUUCUUUUUGACAACUGUGAUUAUUAAUAAAGUGCUCAUGAAAGAUGCUUCAUAGCGUCUUCAACGAGAAUAAUGUGGUUUUUUUGUUAAUGGAAAUGGUAACAUAUCUUGACAGAUACAAUAUAUAAGAUAUGUUUUUUCUUGAUUGUUAAUAUUGCUGCACCGAAUACACAGGAGCAGAUCAACAGAUAUGGCAGGUAAUAAUCAGAGUGGAUGAUGUUUUAUACAAUGUAACUAAAAAUAUUUUAAUAAUAUAAAAGCAGCAGAUAAAUAAAAGCUAUUAUGUUUAAUUUUGCUUUCGGCGUACGCACAAUUGCGGCUGGCGGUUGCUGCUGUGGCGGGUUUGUUUACGGCGGAGGAAGCUCGGAGCGCAGCCGGAGGGUCCUGCAAGCCGCCCUCUUUCUGCUCUCGGCGCUUCAGCGUCCCAGGGACUCAGAGCCCGGCUGAAUGCUAAUUCGCAGUACACAGUAGCUCAAGUUCAGCAAGUUUUCCUGACUUUUGCAAAUCGUUCCUCUCUCUUCUAGCCACCCAGUUUUCCCAAAGGAAAAAA